UUCUUUAAAGUUAAAUAUUUUGGCGGUAUUUUAGUCUGUUCAGAGGAACCUGUCCUGUAAUCGAUGAUCCACGAUAAAUUUUACUUUUUCUUUUAGUUUGUAUAUCGUCGUAGUUUGAAUAUUUUAAAAGAAUCUAAAUUUUCAAAAUUUUUCUUAAAAAGGAAAUCAGAUCAAGGUGUAGCUGAUGAAAAAGAAGGAGAUGGGUUAUUUUAAAUUUAUUUAGGGAAAAUUUCUUGUAAUGAAAUUGGAAUUUGAUUUGAUAGUAAUUUUGAUUAUUUUAUUAAAAUGAUUUUGGCUCUAAAAUAUGCACAUAUCGCCCGUCGCUUUCACUUUAAUGUGAAAUAAGUCGUAACAAAGUAGGCUUACUGGAAAGUGAGCCUAGAAAGAAACGGGCUAGAGCUUGAUAUAAAGCGUUUUAUUUACAUUAAAAAGUUAUUUGUGAGAUUCAAUUUGGCUUGAAUUUUUUAAAUUAUAGUUUUUUUAAUUGUUUGAGGUUUUGAAAUAAGUAAAUUAUUUUUUAUUAUUGUUAAGAAUAAAUUUUUAUUAUGAUAGAUUAUUAGUACUGUGAGGGAAUUUUAAAAUAUUUUUUUAAGAAAAAUUUAUUUUUUGUACCUUGUGUAUCAGGGCUUAUUAAAUAUAAGAUAAUUAUUUAUUUGUCUCGAAUUUAGAAGAGCUAUUCUUAUAUUAUUUUAUUGUAACAUAAAUAUUUAUAAUAUAAGAAUUGUAAUGAAACGUUAGUCGUUUCUAAAUAUAUCUAGUUUCUUAAGAAAUAUAUUUAAUUUAUUUUUUAAUAUUAAACUUUUUUUUUAAUUAAUUAUUUUAGUUUAAAAGGUAAUUUUUUUGGGGAUGAGCUCAAAGAAAAAUUUUUAUAAGUUUAUUUUUCUUUCUUUUUAUUUAGGAUUAGAAUUUUCCMAGAUUAGAAUUAUGUUAUAAUUAAAAAGGUUUAAUUUAUAAUUUCUAUAGACUUUAAGUUUUUAUUAAGAUUUUAGGUAUAAUUUUAUUUUUAUUAAUAAUGAUAAUAUUAGUAUAAAUUUAUGUAAAUUUUUUGAGAUUGCUAGGUUAAGUAAAGGAAUUCGGCAAAAAAUUUUCUACCUGUUUAUUAAAAACAUGUCCUUUUGAUAAUAAUUUAAGGUCUGGCCUGCCCACUGAUUUAUUAAAUGGCCGCGGUAUUUGGACCGUGCAAAGGUAGCAUAAUCAUUAGUUUUUUAAUUGAGAGCUGGAAUGAAUGGUCGGAUAAGAAAAUAACUGUCUCUACUUAAGUUUUUUAGAAUUUUAUCUUUGAGUUAAAAAGCUUAAAUUUUAUUAAAAGACGAGAAGACCCUUUAGAGUUUUAUUACUAGUUAUUUUUUUUUUAUAAAGUAUAUAA
rnacentral:rRNA from 1 species